UACGUAGGGGGCGAGCGUUGUCCGGAAUUAUUGGGCGUAAAGCGCGCGCAGGCGGUUUUUUAAGUCUGGUGUUUAAGUGCGGGGCUCAACCCCGUGCCGCACUGGAAACUGGGGAACUUGAGUGCAGGAGAGGAAAGCGGAAUUCCACGUGUAGCGGUGAAAUGCGUAGAGAUCGGAAGGAACACCAGUGGCGAAGGCGACACUCUGGCCCAAUACUGACGCUGAGGUGCGAAAGCGUGGGGAUCAAACAGG
rnacentral:rRNA from 1 species